UACGGAGGGUGCAAGCGUUGUCCGGAUUUACUGGGUUUAAAGGGUCCGUAGGCUGAUAUUUAAGUCAGUGGUGAAAUCCUGCAGCUUAACUGUAGAACUGCCAUUGAUACUGAAUGUCUUGAGUAUAGUUGAGGUAGGCGGAAUUUAUAAUGUAGCGGUGAAAUGCAUAGAUAUUAUAAAGAACACCAAUUGCGAAGGCAGCUUACUAAACUAUAACUGACGCUGAGGGACGAAAGCGUGGGGAGCGAACAGG
rnacentral:rRNA from 1 species